UCGAAGCUGAACACCCAUUCACGGCCUGUUACGUUCGGGCUAUCGAUGGAUACCUGCUUGCACAACUUGUUCAUUUUUUUUUCCCUGGAAUAGAGCAAACAAAUGUAUUCAAAUAGGAUGAAAUAGGACUAUAUACGAUUGAUCAAACUGAAACGAAAGAAUGGAAAUUUUCGAGCAGACGCAGCACAAGCGGAAGCACGCCGUUAACCCGAUCUACUGCACGUCAGCUGUUACCUCUUACACACGCGUUUAUCAUGAUACAUAAAUAGUUCAUGUAAUACCAAGUAAUCGAGGCAAUUUUACACUUGUGCAUGCUUAACUCAAAUUUCAACUGCAAAUCACUAAUCGAGAUCAAAAUUCAUACCCGUUGCAAGGUGAACAAGGUUUGUGUGUAAUCGGUGUCACUGAUUCCAAUUCAAUAGGCAUUAUGUAUUUCUUCUUAUUCCUUCUUCACAAUUUUG